UACGUAGGGCGCAAGCGUUUAUCCGGAAUUAUUGGGGCGUAAAGAGCUCGUAGGCGGUCUGUUACGUCGGAAGUGAAAACCCGGGGCUUAACCCCCGGGGCUUGCUUUCGAUACGGGCAGACUAGAGUGUGGUAGGGGAGACUGGAAUUCCUGGUGUAGCGGUGAAAUGCGCAGAUAUCAGGAGGAACACCGGUGGCGAAGGCGGGUCUCUGGGCCACUACUGACGCUGAGGAGCGAAAGCGUGGGGAGCAAACAGG
rnacentral:rRNA from 1 species